CGGCUGACGGGGACAGUCGCGUCCCUCAAGAGGAGCCUGUGGCCCGGUGGCAUGGCCUUGUUCCGCCUUGCCCACAGGCGCCGGUCCUACAUGGAAAAUGAGGAGACAGACGAAGAAAAUCAUCGAGAGUGAAACUUAACUUGAAGGUCUAAGAAAACCGCCUCAGAGGUAAAUGAUUGAAGUUUGGCAAGAGGAGCCUCUGUCCUGGCAAUGGUGUAGACUCACUUGGCUGCCAAAUGCUGACUCUGCCAUCACUUGAAAUUCUGAGGUAACACACCUCAAGAGCACAUGAUCUCUUUGUACUGUCUACAGAUAUUAUUAACUGCACCUAUUACUGAUGUAGUAACAUUUUCUGACGGAUUUGCUGAAUCUCCUUGAGACAAAGAAGUGGAAAGCUUGCUGCUGGGGAAUACAGAGAAGAUGAAGUUAUAACUAUCUAAAGACAUGUAUGAAAAGGAUAAAAGAACGCUCUACUUCUGUCAAUUAAUUAUGUUGUCAGUUUUAGUGUUUUAGAAAUAAUUCUAAGAUGUGAAGAAUUCCUGUUUAGUCAUUUUAUUUCCCAUCUCCCUAAAGCUUUUUUUUUCCUUGGUAUGUGAAUUUAGUUCAGUAGGCAUUUAUAUAGCUUAGCUCCAACAGAAACUGUGGAAAUACACCUAUUCUGAAAUAGCUAAGUGUUGAAAAGCUCAUCUGAGUUGAAAUCUGUUCCAGACGGGGCAGAGCUGGUUUCAGAAUGAAGACCAUUGUCUAAACACGAAGUUACUUGCAGGGAAGACGUGUUCUUCUACCAUAAAUGCCAUCCUGAGAAUUUUUUCUAAGUAAAUCUUCAUUUGAAUGGUGAAUGGUAAACGGUAAAAACAGUUGGUUGAAAAAUUCCAGUGUGUCUGCAUGGCAAUCCUCUCUGACUAUAUUCUCUUGCUGUAUGUUCUCAGGAGCCUUUGCCUGAGCUUUGUAGAUACUAAAUAAGCAAUCUCAUCAUAUUUCACACCUUAGAGCAGGGAAAAGGUCAAGUCUCUCUGAAUCCAGGUGACAUGUGGAAGCAAGCAGCAGGAGCUGCUGUCAAAUGAUGAUGCUCUGACUCCGCUUCUUGGAAGUCCUAGGCAGGAGCAAAGAGUCUGCCCAUGAGCAAGGACUUCUCACUUUUCAGCCCAGACCCUUCUCAUACCAGGGCAGGGCUUGUCAUCUCUGGGAAGUCUGGUGAAGACCAGAGCACUUUGGGAACAACAAAAUAAUUUCAGAGUGCAGGAAUUCUUACAAGUGAAAUUCAAACUAAAAAUAUUUCUUUCCUUAGAAGCACACGUGAAAUAUCACAGUAAGUUUGGUGUAAUUUGCUAUUUUAUGACAAUUUUUAAAUGCCAAAAUUGACUUUUAACAUCAGUGUGUUCUAAGGGCAUGAUAUUUCAAUAUGGCUUAAAAUUGGGAUAUUUUGCUCUGAGUUACUGGCAGCCGCCCUUUUUAGUACGUUUGCAUAUUUGAUAGUAGUCUGAUUUCCAAGCAAUUAAAUUUAUUAAAUUUUUGUUGCAAAAAAAAUCCAACUUCAGAAGCCACACUAUAAUAACCAUCUUCCAGAACUGAAUGUAAUUUCAGAAAUGGUAUUUUAGGGUUUUUCCUAUUGGUUUUGGUCAUGAAAAAAAUAUCUUGCUAAAUAUUCGGUGAAUUUAUUAAUUGGUAAAAAUUGUAUUUUUAAUUAAUUCUUUUGUAGUAUGCAAAUCAAUGAAUAGAUUUUCCCAAUAGUUUGUUGAACUCGAGCAAUAAUACUAAAUAGAAUGCGCGAAUACUUUUUUUGAAUCAUCAUUAGAGAUGGGUGGCGAUUUCUUUAUGAAUAAUUUCAGUGUGAACUAUUGAAUCAUUGCAUAAGUUCAGAUAGUUAAAUAAGCAUAAAACUAACUCUUUAAGCAGAAAUAUUUAAUUUCAAGCUUUUUUUUUUUGUCCUUACUACUGGACAAAGUAUUUCUCCUAGCUGGAAGUGUUAGUGAGAACCCCUCGCCCAAAAUUCUCUUCUGCCAUCAUUGUAUUGUGAAUAAAUAACUCCUGCUAGUUUUAAAAUGCACGACAAUCUUCAUGAUCAUAAUCCUCAUGAGAAAUGCCAGUUACAGGUAAAGAUGCUUGCAGAAUACACAGAAGUAAUAACAGCUCGGUGUUAGAACCCCUGAUGAAAAUUUUUACAGGUUGGGAGUAAACUAAUGUAUUUUUAUGUAUUUUUAAAAGAGACAUAAAAGCAGCUUUGGUUUACAUGCCUCCAUCAGGUACAGAAUAGUGAAUACAUAGCUCCUGCAUUUGGAAGACAGGCUCUUUCUCCUCCUCUCUGCCUGUGUGGGAAUCAUAGAACCUGAGGAAGUAGGCAGUUGCAUUUUUUAUUUCCUCUUGAUCAGUCAUGGCAACUGGCAGAGAAAAGUACAUCUAAAGAUGUUUUAAUAGGUACACAGCUUUCAAAUGGAUAUUGAGGGCUCAUUGAAGCAUUCUGUUUCUGUAAGCAAUAUAAAGUUCAGUUUAUUCGAUAAAUAAUAAAACUGUAGCUUUAGAAUUAUGCUAUGUACAGUAAUCUUUCUUUGCACUUUUGCAUGAAUGUGCAAACUUCAAGAAAACCCUCAGUUACAUUUAAUUGGCCUUAGUGCUUUCAGAAGCGAUAAUUAACCUUAAAGAUUCUGAGGGCAAAGAUAAUUCUUUGCCCUUGCAGCCAAACUAAACCAGAAGAUAAACCUGUUGCCACUGGAGAAAUGAAGACAACAUCUGUGUUGCUAUAACCUGGAUGAGACUUUCAUGGACAGAUGAUGUGAUGCCUCCCUGUUUAAAUCAGUGUAUACACUGCUGUUUGUUUACAAUUUCAUAGUUGUCUUGAUCUGUAUAUCUGACCCAUUUACUGGCUUUAUUAGUUUUAAUUAUGACAGUCCACAUUCAGAUAAUAUGCAUGCAACUGAAAGUUUUUGAAGUGCAAGCUGUCACAUAGUGAAAUGCUGUAAAUCCACUAUAUUGUCAUAAAGAUUUUGUACUAGAAAAGGUUAAGUUUAUUCAGCAAAGAUCUGUUGCAUUCUUGCAACUAUCUGGGGGAAAAAUCUUCUUCUUGUAUAUUACCUUUUUUUACUAAAAGUAAUUUUAGUACUUUUUUGCUUCAGGCUUUUUUACUACAAAAAGAUUUUGCUUAUCAUGUUUUAGAGUCUGAUUUAUUAAAUUUCAAAUUAAGAUUGACAGAUUAUAUUUUGACAGUUUCUGGAUAUUUAUGCUUUCAAAACAGGUGAAUCCAUGAGGAAAUCAUUCUUAUCUUGUAAUCAUGAGUUGUACAAGACGAAGAAAUUUGCAUAUGCUUGGCUCAGUCUGUGAGGCGCAAAUAUCCUCAAAUGGGAAAUAGUUCUAUCAUUUUACCCUGUUCCUGGAAUAGUUCAAUCUGUGUGGUAAUGGUCUUGCAGUAAAUUUAAUUGCAGGCUGGCAUAUCUCCACUUAUGUUUCCCUUUUCUGUACAAUUGAUCUCUGUCUGAUUUCUGUGGUUUAAAAUUGAAGAACUUUCAUGACACUGUGAAUUUGUAAGACAAAAUAAAGCCAGACUUUGAAGAACAACA